rnacentral:lncRNA from 1 species
UCGGAAGCCUGGCUCGGAGGCCCCAGGAUGACAACCUAAUUACAUUCCUUUUAAUAGCUCCUUCCCAAGUGCUCAGUCAGGGACAUCUGCUCUGCCGCGGUUGCACCUUCAGGGAGGAAUAUUUUUAACACCGUCAUGCCACAAAAGGAAACUUCUGAAGGCUGGAUGAAAAUGGCCUCUGCGUUCCCAGAGCCUCAGGGCCCAUCAGUUUUCACAGAGGUAAAUUCAAUGUGCCAGGCCAU